GGGCAAGAAAUAUAUAACGAGAUAUGAAAAAGAGGUAUUGAGAGAGAUAGACAUUAGAGUGUCAGGGAAAGAGACAUUGAUUUUAGAGGAAGUGAGGGCAGAGACCUCCAAAAAAGAGACUGGGUAAACAGAAUUAGAGUGUACUGAAGAAAAGAGACCUCAAAACAGAACUGGGAGUUAAGGAAAAAGAAAUGAGAUGGGGAAACAGGGGUAGUGAGAUUAUAUUUAGGGAGAGAAAGAGAGAGAGACAGACAGCAGUGAGAAUAGAGCUGAGAUCUGUUAGUGUUAGAGACAGGGGCCCAUGAAGAGACAGCAAAGUCAUAUAGACAGGAGAAGAUGGGAGAGACAAACAGGAACUGAAAGAGGAAUGAGCGACAGAUACUGAGAUACAGAAAGAGACCAUUGAAGAGAGAUGCAG